UCCUGUCAUUGGUACAAAUUUUACUUCCCUAAAGGUUAAUCUAAGAAACUGAAGAAAAAGAAGGCCGCUCAAGUUUUAGUCUGAAAGCAAGCAUGAUAAAACUGACGUCCUUCUAACAUGAAAUAGUUAAUGUAGACUCAGCCUCCUUGCAAUCGAUUAAGUGGGAAUGCGUGAUUGUUGAUGACGACCAUCGCCUUAAGAACAAACAUUCAAAAUUAUUUUAUUCACUGAAGGAAUACUCCAGUAAUCACCGUAUGCUUCUGACUGGGACUCCUCUACAGAACAAUCUUGAUGAGUUGUUCAUGCUGAUGCACUUCCUAGAUGCUGGAAUGGUCAGUUUUAUGUCCCAUUGAUACUUACCAACAAAGAACCAAGGUAGAUUUCAAAGAUCGGAAAAUGGUUUUGACUUGCGGUGGAUACUUGCAGUUUUGAAGUUUGGAGGAGUCCCAAGUGAAGUUUAAGGAUAUCAAUCAAGAAGAGCAGAUUGCAAGGCUCCAUAAAAGGAGUCAAAAAGGAUGUCUUGAAGGAAAUGCCGCCUAAGAAGGAACUCAUUUUAGGUGCGGAAUUAAGUAGCAAGCAGAAAGAAUACUACAAAGCCAUCUUGACAUGGAAUUAUGAGGUACUGACUCGCAAA